rnacentral:rRNA from 1 species
AUUGAACGCUGGCGGCAGGCCUAACACAUGCAAGUCGAGCGGAGCGGGUGACGGGCGAGUAAUUCCUGGGAAGCAGCCUGGUAGUGGGGGAUGACGUCCGGCAAGGGGCGGUAAUACAUCAUGCUAUCAGUCGGGCCUAGGUCGGUUUAGCUAGUUGGUGGGGUAAGGGCCUACCAAGGCGACGAUCCGUAACUGGUCUGAGUGGAUGAUCAGUCACACUGGAACUGAGACACGGUCCAGACUCCUACGGGAGGCAGCAGUGGGGAAUAUUGGACAAUGGGCGAAAGCCUGAUCCAGCCAUGCCGCGUGUGUGAAGAAGGCCUUCGGAUUGUAAAGCACUUUAAGUUGGGAGGCGUUACCAGCAGAAGAAGCACCGGCUAACUCCGUGCCAGCAGCCGCGGUAAUUC